AGUGAACGCUGGCGGUAGGCCUAACACAUGCAAGUCGAACGGCAGCACAGUAAGAGCUUGCUCUUACGGGUGGCGAGUGGCGGACGGGUGAGGAAUACAUCGCAAUCUACUUUUUCGUGGGGGAUAACGUAGGGAAACUUACGCUAAUACCGCAUACGACCUACGGGUGAAAGCAGGGGAUCUUCGGACCUUGCGCGAUUGAAUGAGCCGAUGUCGGAUUAGCUAGUUGGCGGGGUAAAGGCCCACCAAGGCGACGAUCCGUAGCUGGUCUGAGAGGAUGAUCAGCCACACUGGAACUGAGACACGGUCCAGACUCCUACGGGAGGCAGCAGUGGGGAAUAUUGGACAAUGGGCGCAAGCCUGAUCCAGCCAUACCGCGUGGGUGAAGAAGGCCUUCGGGUUGUAAAGCCCUUUUGUUGGGAAAGAAAAGCAGCAGGUUAAUACCCCGCCGUUCUGACGGUACCCAAAGAAUAAGCACCGGCUAACUUCGUG
rnacentral:rRNA from 1 species